rnacentral:rRNA from 1 species
CCUACGGGAGGCAGCAGUAGGGAAUAUUGCUCAAUGGGGGAAACCCUGAAGCAGCAACGCCGCGUGGAGGAUGAAGGUUUUCGGAUUGUAAACUCCUUUUGUUAGAGAAGAUAAUGACGGUAUCUAACGAAUAAGCACCGGCUAACUCCGUGCCAGCAGCCGCGGUAAUACGGAGGGUGCAAGCGUUACUCGGAAUCACUGGGCGUAAGGAGCGCGUAGGCGGGAUAGCAAGUCAGAUGUGAAAUCCUAUGGCUUAACCAUAGAACUGCAGUUGAAACUGUUAUUCUAGAGUAUGGGAGAGGUAGGUGGAAUUCUUGGUGUAGGGGUAAAAUCCGUAGAGAGCAAGAGGAAUACUCAUUGCGAAGGCGACCUGCUAGAACAUAACUGACGCUGAUGCGCGAAAGCGUGGGGAGCAAACAGGAUUAGAUACCCCAGUAGUC